rnacentral:lncRNA from 1 species
UGAGCCACCUCCAGAAAUACUUGCCAUAGAACUGAAAUAGAAAUGAUUACAUGAGUAAAUUAUCACCCACACUCCUUGCAGGCACCAUUUCAUACCACAAGCCCUUUCUCUCUUCAGGGAAUAAUGGUUUUACAUUUUACUUGUGACGACACUCUAAUUGCCAAAUAUAAUAGGGGCACUAUACUGAAAAGUUAAAAGAUUCCAAGUGAGAAGAUAAGUCAAAUAUAGUAAUAUCAUCCACCAGUGAAUCUUUAAAGCAUGCUCCUGUCUUCUUCCUCCCACCGCCACCCCCCCCCCCCAAUCCUAAGCAUACACGCAAUCGCAGAAAUGGAAUAGCAUAGUUGAGAAAAAAUAACAAGCAUUCUAAAAUUCUACUAGCUGUUGAUUCUAGCUAUGACCCUUUGUCCAAAUUUGGCCAAGUGCUUAUUUUUAGAAAUAAAAUUUUAUUGGAAAAUAGCAAUGCCUCUUUGUUUGGCUGCUGUUACCAAUGCCAGACCAACCAUGUGGUCUAAAGCCAAAAACAUUACUCACUAUUGACAAAAAAAAAAAAAAAAAAAAAAAAAGUUAUUGACCCAGUCCACCUAUUCACUUAAGUGAGAAAUCUGUCCUGAGGAUUGGAGGCCUCUCAAAGAAACACAUUCCAACAGAACAGAGGCAGCAUGAAAAGGCCUCGACUUUACUAACUCCUGCCCCAACCAAAGCGUCAGGACUUUAGAGAAGAACGUUGGUAUAAGCUUGCAUCUCAUUACAGUUUUCAAAGACCCCUUUCAAAUGGCACAGGCACCCUUGAGUAAGUAAUAAAACAGAAGUUUGCUUUGAUGUUAGUCCAAAAUGUAUAGAUGACAUAUUUCCACACACCUAUGAAGUAUACCAGUAGCCCAAGACUGGGGGCUGUUUCUAUACUAAGUUCAUGGAUGAAAGAAUUAAUGGAUUUUUUUUCUUUUAGAAAAUAUACUAGCAUUACAUCAGGCUGUAUUUUCUGAUGUGCAGAGCCUAAAAAAAAAUCACGAUUGGUGGCAUGAAUUCUGAUUUUUCUCAAGCUAAAGUUACAAAACUGUCAAAAGCAUGUGUGACUGAACAUGUGUCUGUAAGUUUAUGUACAUUUACAUUUUAUGUCCCUGUUUAAAAUAAAAUUGUAUAAUAUUGGU